CGGCAACAGCUCAAAUUUGAAAUCUGGCCCCCGGGUCCGAGUUGUAAUUUGUAGAGGAUGCUUUUGGUGCGGUACCUUCCGAGUUCCCUGGAACGGGACGCCAUAGAGGGUGAGAGCCCCGUCUGGUUGGACGCCAAUCCUUUGUAAAGCUCCUUCAACGAGUCGAGUAGUUUGGGAAUGCUGCUCUAAAUGGGAGGUAUAUGUCUUCUAAAGCUAAAUAUUGGCCAGAGACCGAUAGCGCACAAGUAGAGUGAUCGAAAGAUGAAAAGCACUUUGAAAAGAGAGUUAAAAAGUACGUGAAAUUGUUGAAAGGGAAGCGCUCAUGACCAGACUUGGGCUUGGUUGAUCAUCCAGGGUUCUCCCUGGUGCACUCUUCCGGCCCAGGCCAGCAUCAGUUCGCUGUGGGGGAUAAAGGCUUCGGGAAUGUGGCUCCCUCGGGAGUGUUAUAGCCCGUUGUGUAAUACCCUGUGGUGGACUGAGGUUCGCGCAUUCGC
rnacentral:rRNA from 1 species